rnacentral:rRNA from 1 species
CGCGUAGGCGGCACGGCAAGUCAGGAGUGAAAGGCCUGGGCUCAACCGAGGAACUGCUUUUGAGACUGCCGAGCUAGAGUGCAGAAGGGGCAACUGGAAUUCCCAGUGUAGCGGUGAAAUGCGUAGAUAUUGGGAAGAACACCUGAGGCGAAGGCGGGUUGCUGGGCUGACACUGACGCUGAGGCGCGAAAGCCAGGGAGCAAACG